GUAGGUGAACCUGCGGAAGGAUCAUUAACGAAUUCAUUUGGAGUUGUGCUGGUUCUUACAAGUGCACGCUCCUUACAAUUCCAUUCACACCCAUGUGCACUUUAAGAGACGUAUCUCCCCCGUUUACGUGCCUUUAUUGGCUCGGGAUUUCGUCUAUUUAACACACUCUUUGUAAUAGAAUGUCAAUUGGCUUAAUUGCCUAAAACUUUAAAUAUAACUUUCAACAACGGAUCUCUUGGUUCUC
rnacentral:misc_RNA from 1 species